UUGUUUAAGAAUUUCUUUGAAAUAACCGCUCGCUUGAACCUAUAGACCAGCGCGGUCAAGCGAGCGGAAAAAUUGCUCCCAAUUAGUGGUUUUGAAACGACUCAAGGUAUGUGGCACUCACACAGGAAAUGACAUCAACGGGUCAAAACUAAAAAUAUGUCGCAGGGCGUACGGUGACUAUGGGACGCCCUGAACUUGCUCUGUAGCCUACUGAUUGCUUCGAGACAGGUUUCUAUAGUUUUGGAAAGUGGAUGCUGAGGACCUGAGCUGGGUGAGCGCUUCUCAACCAUCACUUUCAUCCUCUGCAAGUUCAGCGCAGACGACACACUUCCACUGGGACGCCGAGCCGGUGUGCUGUCGCAGGUGCAGCUGCUGUCUGGGGCAGAGAGAGGAGACAGACAACACAUACAGUGAAUGCUGGAGUUUUGACAGUUGAUGGAAACGUGGUUAUAUACACAUACUCAACAGACAUCCGAUGCACACACGGAUCCCUUUACCCUGGCACGUUGAGGAACAACUGAACAAGCAGAUAAAAUGCAAACCCUCGUCAUUUCUCCCACACUCUAACCAUUAGCUCAGAAAUCAAGGUGCCGCUCUGCAGCUCUGGAUCCCUGAGCCAGGUCCUGAUUGCAAGUUACUGGGCUGGGGAUAUCAAGUGCGAAAGGAGAAAUGUGAAAUCCCAGAUAAAACCUGGAGCCUUAAGGAGCCAUGAAGUGCAUGUAAUGAGGAAAGUGAUGGGGAUUGGGUGUGCUGAGCACACAGUCACAUGGAGGAUGUCUUUGAGUGAGAGUCUCUGUGACAUUUGUCCUCCCUAAUCCAGGAUUUAUAGAGGACUCACAAAAUUCAACAAGGUUAAAUCAGUAGGCAGGUUAGCAAAGCAUAACAGAAGCACGGCUUGACAAAAAUUAGUAGGCACUAGACAACCUGUGAAUGGCUUGUCUUGCCUUGAUGGACAAUAUUACGUGUUCAUCAAGUGAAACACACACAUUCUUAUUCGUGUUCAUAACUCUUUCACAGUUUGGUGAGUUGAUGAAUUUGAAUGGAUUCAUACAAUCUCACUUGUAGAUUUUUGUAUGAUCUGCUUAGACUUCAUUGAAGGUAAGUUUAGGGUUGGUUUGGUUAUAGGUUAAAAGUGGCCUUUCAUGAUUACUUACUUUUUUUUUUUACUCAUAUGAUUUUGCCACACAAUACAUUGAUACUGUCCUAUAUGGUUCCAGAGAUUAUGCACUUCUCUUUGUUUUUAUGCCCUGUUAGGGUUUUGUAAUACCGCUAAGCUAAUGACCGUAUUUUGCAGAGCCUAAUAAGUCAAAAAUGCAUCUGCCCUGGAAAAGCUGAAUAAUGGCAGAUAUUAAUGGAGCUGGGCCCUGAAUGAUUCCCGGGUUGGCGUGGCAGUUAAACGCAUUCCAGGUUUUGUGGAGGCCAUUAUUCCUGCUCCUUAAUCACCACCUCUGCUUUUAUUACCCCCAAAGCCUCACUGUGUGGCUCGGGGAAACCACAUGUGGGCACAGGCCAGGAAAUGUCGAGCAGACAAGAAAAUGUCUUCCUUUCCCCUUAAAAGUAAUAGCCUUAACCAAACACCAAAGACAGGCUGUUCUUAACCAGAGUUUGCUGUCUAUAAUCGUUUAUGGGAUAUCAGAUGCUGUACCGGAGGAAUUGUUGGUUUUUGUUGAAGAUUUGUAAUCGGUAUGUAGUUAAAAUGAUGCUAGGAACUUUAGAAGUCAAAUAGUUUUCACGUGUCACUUGAAGUUGUGUUGAAAAAGCUGUUCUUAAAGGUAUACUCCACUCCAAAAAGAAAAUUGUCAUUAAUAACUUACCCCCAUGUCGUUCCAAACCUGUAAAAUCUUAGUUUGUCUUCAGAACACAAUUUAAGAUAUUUGGGAUGAAAACUGGGAGGAUUGUGACUGUCCCAUAAACUGAUGGCCCAGAACCACUGAUGGCAGAUGGACUAUUCUAAUGAUGCUUUCAUACUUUUCUGGACCUUGACAGUGUAUUUUACUUGGCAGUCUAUGGGGCAGUCACAAGCCUCCCGGUUUUCAUCCAAAAUAUCUUACAUUGUGUUUUGAAGAUGAACGAAGCUUUUAGGGGUUUGGAAUGACAUGGGGGUGACUGAUUAAUGACAGUUUUCAUUUUGGGGUGGAGAAACGCUUUACCAUGUCAUCCCAAAGUCAUUGCUUCCCAACUCCAGUCCUCGGGACCACUUCCCAGAAUGUUUUAUGUCUCCAUAUUUAACACACAAACAAGCAGUUGAGUUGAAUCAGGUGUUUUAAUUAGGAAAUAUUAAUACAUAUAAAAUUCACAAAGAAUUUUGUCUGAGUAAUGAGCUUUUGUAUCAAGGCUAGAGAAGUAUUUGGCUAUGUAUAUUCAUCAUAAUCAUUGCAGCAGGCAGAAGCAAUUAUUUCUUCUUAAUGGGGAAUCAUGUUGCAUUGCUUGAAAUAUGAAGAUUUGUUUGUUCAAGUUAAGAGUCACUAUGUUUUAUAUUGGUUGACAUUAACAGAUGUUUAACAAAAAUAAAUCAGUAUUAGGUAUUUAACUUGUUUUUGAUUAUUUUGCCUAUUUUUACAUUAACAUUACAUCUGCUUUCCUCUCACUGAAAGUUUAAAAACACCAAUAAUUAAAUAACAAUGUUCGGUAUAAUCUUCAGCAAAUCUCAAAAUAAAGAUCCAAUAUGUAUAAUGUAUUUUAUAAUGUCGAACUGUAUAAUAUAACAUUGCGAUGUUGCCUAAAUUCACUUGAAACAUUUAAAGGUUUAUUUUAUUGUUUUAAUUUUAGUUUGCACAAAAUAAUAAAGAAUUUGAAUAUCAGGCAUCAUCAUUAAAAUAGUUAUUGCUUAUUGGUCAGCUAGAAUUUUAAUUUCACUUCUUUUGUACUUGUAUUUUUUUUUGGGGGUGCUUAGAGUAAUGUGAAGUUGUGGGAACAUUUGUUUUACCCCUAUUUAUAGGGAUGACAGUGCAUUUAAUUUUUUUUUUUUACAUUUAUUAAAAAUAAUAACAAUACAUACAUACUUUCAUGGCCAGUUGGACAUAUCUGCAGUGGAUAAACUAUCUUUAUUCACCUGUCAUUGGCAGGUGUGGCAGAAAGUUAAUUUUGGAUCUCAGUUGCGCAUUAUCAUGGCUCAUGUCCACAUGAGAGGAUCAGUGCCUCAGUCCUAAAUUAAUGAGGGAGGUCUCAUCCCUGACACAGUCCAUCCAUCAGAUCCCUCCAAGGCCUUCUCCUUAAGAGACAACAGAGUGGGGGGUAUAGAUGAUGAAGAGGACUAAUUAAGCCGCCAUGAUGUUUUGUUUUAUUAUGGGUUCAGUUUAAAAAUUUUCAAUAAAUCUUAUUAGCAUAGGAGGUGCUUGGAGACGUCUGACUGAAGGUGUGAAGUGGGUCUGCUGUUUACACUGAGGCUAACAGCUGCACACUUGCGAGGGCUGUAAAAAACAUACGCUGCACUGGUGUCGCUGUCGACACACUGUCGGCUGAUGCCAUAAUUCAUGUGUGUCAUCCACGGGAUGCUGUGUGAGGGGAGGGGAGUAGGUGAGUUUUUUAAGCUCCUCCUGUUUACCCACUGCCUGAUGGCCCCCUGUAGAGAGCAACAGCAAUUAUCACCUUGGAGGAAUGUGGGAGCCUUCUGUUAAAUUCCCUUUGACCCUUCGGUAGAGGAGGUCAGGAGGUGGUGAUCCCCCCAGGGAGCAGCAGGCAGUGAGGGGUGGUGGGGGGACGCCAUAGAUGGGUGCAUUUGGGGCUGUUUCUCAUGGUCAGGGAAACUUGAGUCUGACAUUGCUUUACAGCUGCAAGCCAACAAAGUCAGUUGGUUCUCCUUCUCCAUUCCUCAAAUAGGAUUUUUAUGGUGCAUUUGCAAUGUAAACGGCUGCUUUGCUGUCUUAGUUUGACUGCAUCAGGACUGGCUUCAUACUUUGAGUACAGGUAGUCAGGUUAGCCAGGAUGAACUUGAAAACUUGUAUUCUUACACAGUCAUAACACCUGAAGACAAAGCUCUUCUGUGAAGCUCUUUAAAUCACAGCAGUCAAAGCCAGUCUUCUCACCUUCUACUCAUUACUGAAAAUGAACCCUAAGUUAAAGGGUUUUAGGAAUAAUACAUGCAAAAAUUUAAAAUUCUGUGAUCUUACCUUCACGUCAUUCCAAACCAAACCAAAGAUAAGGAAUGGUUCAUAUGUUUUGUUCCUAUAAUGAAAGUCUAAAUGUCCAAAACCACAUUAAAUCAUUCGGAUUUUCAUUCUAUUGACUAUUUUCUUUUCUCUUUUCAAUUUCCUUUUUCUAAACGAAGUAAGUCAUACAUGUUUGAAACAACAUGAGGGUGAGUAAAUAUUGAUGCAAUUUUCACUUUGGAAUCAACUAUCCUUUUUGAAACAAUUGAACAUGAUGAUACACUGAUGUAUAAGUCUUAAAUGUAGUUUUGAAUUCAGAGACCCUCCCUUUGAAAUAUGAUUCAACAGGAGGUCACAUAUGAGACACAUGUACACUCUUGGGGAAAAAAGCUGCUGUGCCAGUCCCUUACAAAUCCGUAGUUAAAAGUAUUGUUCAUGUUGUUCCAAACUUAGGGCUAUAUGAAUUUCUUUCUUCUGAUUCUACUUGGUAAUUUUGGUAACAGUUGCUGGUAGCCAUUGACUUGAUAUUUUUUUCCCCCAAAUGGGCGAGAGUGGCAACCAGUGACUGUUUGGUUAACAACACACUUCAUUUAUCUUCUUGCACCAUUAAGAAAUUCAUACAGGUUUGGAACAACUUGAGGGUGAGUGAAUGAUGACAAAAUUUUCAUUUUUGGUUGAACCAUCCCUCUAAAUUGUACUAGUAUUAGUAUCUAAAUAUACAGAUAUUCGUAUCCUUUGACCAUCUCAGUGACAGCGUUUGUACAUUUUUUUUUGUUCUGGGAGCAUAAAUACCUGCUGUAAACAGUAAUAUGUCUCAGUUGCUAAAUGCUAAAUGAUUCAAUGUAAAUGUAGUCGUCCGCUGUGAACAAAUCAACUGAGGCUGCUGUUAAUACUCGGUGUAACCAGAACCUAUAAUGUCUGUUUGUGUCAAGCAGUGUUGUGAUUGCAUUUAUAAAUCACGGCUUAACAAGUAAGGCACACCACAUCACGAAGACUAACAGCAUUGGAUGCUGGCUCUGACUGGAUGGGCUUUGAGUGUUAUUUGUGUGUACUGCAUCAUGUGACCCAAAACUGAUUAUGUAUGGUCGUUAAGAGCUGUAGUGACAAGGCCAGCUGCAGACCCUUGACAGCUGCAAUACAGUUUUCAUUUCCAAUCUGUCCUUUUAGCCCCUCAUAAUUCACACCUGAUAUCUCCUGACCUGUGUUCAUGUUGAAUCAAACAAAGCAGUUGUUGUUUAAUAGUGAUGAGAGCUUCUAAUAAGACAUCUCUCAGUGGUGAUUAGCUAAUCGGCCCCCAGAGACAAGACAAGGGCAUAGACUGGGCCCCUAACCAUUUUAGACUGGGACCCAUUCACUUACAAGACCUUGGUCUUCUUAGAGUUUUUAAUAAGUCCUUUCUUUUAAAUGAUUGUAAAUGAAAAAAAAAAAUCCUGUUGUACCAAAAUAUGUUGUUUUCUGAAAUAAAUGUAUUU